rnacentral:rRNA from 1 species
GACGAACGCUGGCGGCGUGCUUAACACAUGCAAGUCGAACGGAAAGGCCCUGCUUUUGUGGGGUGCUCGAGUGGCGAACGGGUGAGUAACACGUGAGUAACCUGCCCUUGACUUUGGGAUAACUUCAGGAAACUGGGGCUAAUACCAGAUAGGAGCUCCUGCUGCAUGGUGGGGGUUGGAAAGUUUCGGCGGUUGGGGAUGGACUCGCGGCUUAUCAGCUUGUUGGUGGGGUAGUGGCUUACCAAGGCUUUGACGGGUAGCCGGCCUGAGAGGGUGACCGGCCACAUUGGGACUGAGAUACGGCCCAGACUCCUACGGGAGGCAGCAGUGGGGAAUAUUGCACAAUGGGCGGAAGCCUGAUGCAGCAACGCCGCGUGCGGGAUGACGGCCUUCGGGUUGUAAACCGCUUUCGCCCGUGACGAAGCGUGAGUGACGGUAAUGGGUAAAGAAGCACCGGCUAACUACGUGCCAGCAGCCGCGGUGAUACGUAGGGUGCGAGCGUUGUCCGGAUUUAUUGGGCGUAAAGGGCUCGUAGGUGGUUGAUCGCGUCGGAAGUGUAAUCUUGGGGCUUAACCCUGAGCGUGCUUUCGAUACGGGUUGACUUGAGGAAUUUAGGGGAGAAUGGAAUUCCUGGUGGAGCGGUGGAAUGCGCAGAUAUCAGGAGGAACACCAGUGGCGAAGGCGGUUCUCUGGGCCUUUCCUGACGCUGAGGAGCGAAAGCGUGGGGAGCGAACAGGCUUAGAUACCCUGGUAGUCCACGCUGUAAACGGUGGGUACUAGGUGUGGGGUCCAUUCCACGGGUUCCGUGCCGUAGCUAACGCUUUAAGUACCCCGCCUGGGGAGUACGGCCGCAAGGCUAAAACUCAAAGGAAUUGACGGGGCCCCGCACAAGCGGCGGAGCAUGCGGAUUAAUUCGAUGCAACGCGUAGAACCUUACCUGGGUUUGACAUGGAUCGGGAGUGCUCAGAGAUGGGUGUGCCUCUUUUGGGGUCGGUUCACAGGUGGUGCAUGGCUGUCGUCAGCUCGUGUCGUGAGAUGUUGGGUUAAGUCCCGCAACGAGCGCAACCCUUGUUCACUGUUGCCAGCACGUUAUGGUGGGGACUCAGUGGAGACCGCCGGGGUCAACUCGGAGGAAGGUGGGGAUGACGUCAAGUCAUCAUGCCCCUUAUGUCCAGGGCUUCACGCAUGCUACAAUGGCUGGUACAGAGAGUGGCGAGCCUGUGAGGGUGAGCGAAUCUCGGAAAGCCGGUCUCAGUUCGGAUUGGGGUCUGCAACUCGACCUCAUGAAGUCGGAGUCGCUAGUAAUCGCAGAUCAGCAACGCUGCGGUGAAUACGUUCCCGGGGCU